UACGGAGGGUGCUAGCGUUGUUCGGAAUUACUGGGCGUAAAGGGCGCGUAGGCGGCCUGCUAAAUCGAACGGUGAAAUCCCCCGGGCUCAACCCGGGAACUGCGUCCGAUACUGGUUGGCUUGAGUCCGGUAGGGGAGUGUGGAAUUCCCGGUGUAGCGGUGAAAUGCGUAGAUAUCAGGAGGAACACCGGUGGUGUAGACGGCUCACUGGACCGUAACUGACGCUGAGACACGAAAGCGUGGGUAGCAAACAGG
rnacentral:rRNA from 1 species